rnacentral:rRNA from 1 species
GGUCAACUUCACGCGUUAAGCUGACCCUGAGCCAGGAUCAAACUCCCCCCGCGGGGGAUCUUCGGACCUCGCGCUAUAGGGGCGGCCGAUGGCAGAUUAGCUAGUUGGUGGGGUAAAGGCCUACCAAGGCGACGAUCUGUAGCUGGUCUGAGAGGACGACCAGCCACACUGGGACUGAGACACGGCCCAGACUCCUACGGGAGGCAGCAGUGGGGAAUUUUGGACAAUGGGGGAAACCCUGAUCCAGCAAUGCCGCGUGUGUGAAGAAGGCCUUCGGGUUGUAAAGCACUUUUGUCCGGAAAGAAAACCUCUUGGCUAACAUCUGAGGG